rnacentral:rRNA from 1 species
UACGAAGGGGGCUAGCGUUGCUCGGAAUCACUGGGCGUAAAGGGUGCGUAGGUGGUGAGGUAAGUCGGAUGUGAAAGCUCGGAGCUCAACUCCGAAAUGGCAUUGGAAACUACCUUGCUCGAGGGUUGGAGGGGGGACUGGAAUGCUUGGUGUAGCAGUGAAAUGCGUAGAUAUCAAGCGGAACACCAGUGGCGAAGGCGAGUCCCUGGACAACUCCUGACACUGAGGCACGAAAGCUAGGGGAGCAAACAGG